CAAGGAAUAGCUCAGUUGGUAGAGCACGAGACUCUUAAUCUCAAGGUCGUGGUUUUGAGCCCCAUGUUGGGGGAAAGA